GCCAGCAGCCAUAUCACCCUUCAACUCACAACUGGCAGCCCACUGAAGCUCAGCAGGUGUGAGCCUGGUCAGUACCUGGAUGGGAGACCUCCUGGGGAAAAACUAAGGUUGCUGCUGGAA
rnacentral:rRNA from 1 species